GAUGAACGCUAGCUACAGGCUUAACACAUGCAAGUCGAGGGGCAGCAUGGUCUUAGCUUGCUAAGGCUGAUGGCGACCGGCGCACGGGUGAGUAACACGUAUCCAACCUGCCGUCUACUCUUGGCCAGCCUUCUGAAAGGAAGAUUAAUCCAGGAUGGGAUCAUGAGUUCACAUGUCCGCAUGAUUAAAGGUAUUUUCCGGUAGACGAUGGGGAUGCGUUCCAUUAGAUAGUAGGCGGGGUAACGGCCCACCUAGUCAACGAUGGAUAGGGGUUCUGAGAGGAAGGUCCCCCACAUUGGAACUGAGACACGGUCCAAACUCCUACGGGAGGCAGCAGUGAGGAAUAUUGGUCAAUGGGCGAUGGCCUGAACCAGCCAAGUAGCGUGAAGGAUGACUGCCCUAUGGGUUGUAAACUUCUUUUAUAAAGGAAUAAAGUCGGGUAUGCAUACCCGUUUGCAUGUACUUUAUGAAUAAGGAUCGGCUAACUCCGUGCCAGCAGCCGCGGUAAUACGGAGGAUCCGAGCGUUAUCCGGAUUUAUUGGGUUUAAAGGGAGCGUAGAUGGAUGUUUAAGUCAGUUGUGAAAGUUUGCGGCUCAACCGUAAAAUUGCAGUUGAUACUGGAUGUCUUGAGUGCAGUUGAGGCAGG
rnacentral:rRNA from 1 species